CAGACCAGAUUGAUGACCAGAAAAUUGAACACAUUUUUGCUGGAGGAAACCAUUCCUUUGCGUUGUGCUCUCUUGGUCAGGAGUCUGAAGAAAGGUCAAUCUCAGGUCAAGUGUGGGCAAAGUGACACAACAAGCUAUAGAUGAAGAAAUCAUUGACAAAUGGAUCUCGAAAUAUAAUUCAAAGUCUUGGAAAAAGGACAGAAGAAAAUCACAAAAAUGUUUUCUUCUGCAUCGUGUUUAAAUGGGAGCUUUCUUGAUAAAAGGUUGAAGCUGUUGUUCAGCACACACU